rnacentral:ncRNA from 1 species
GUAGCCUCCGAGUCAAUGUUUCUAAGGGCAAUUGCCUAUGAGCAUUGACCAAAAGGGUCUUUUUGGAAACGAAAAGGCCUCCCGUCUGGAAAGGAGGAAGUG